ACAAAGAGGUGCAUGGCUUCAGCACUUCGAAGUCUGUGUCCUUGGGCCUCUUUGUUU
rnacentral:miRNA from 1 species